GACGAACGCUGGCGGCGUGCUUAACACAUGCAAGUCGAACGGAAAGGCCCUGCUUUUGUUGGGUGCUCGAGUGGCGAACGGGUGAGUAACACGUGAGUAACCUGCCCUUGACUUUGGGAUAACUUCAGGAAACUGGUGCUAAUACCGGAUAGGAGCUCCUGCUGCAUGGGGGGGGUUGGAAAGUUUCGGCGGUUGGGGAUGGACUCGCGGCUUAUCAGCUUGUUGGUGGGGUAGUGGCUUACCAAGCCUUUGACGGGUAGCCGGCCUGAGAGGGUGACCGGCCACAUUGGGACUGAGAUACGGCACAGACUCCUACGGGAGGCAGCAGUGGGGAAUAUUGCACAAUGGGCGGAAGCCUGAUGAAGCAACGCCGCGUGCGGGAUGACGGCCUUCGGGUUGUAAACCGCUUUCGCCUGUGACGAAGCGUGAGUGACGGUAAUGGGUAAAGAAGCACCGGCUAACUACGUG
rnacentral:rRNA from 1 species